UACGUAGGGGGCAAGCGUUGUCCGGAUUUAUUGGGCGUGAAGAGCGUGUAGGCGGCUUUACAGGUCCGUUGUGAAAACUCGAGGCUCAACCUCGAGACGCCGGUGGAAACCGUAAAGCUAGAGUCCGGAAGAGGAGAGUGGAAUUCCUGGUGUAGCGGUGAAAUGCGCAGAUAUCAGGAAGAACACCCGUGGCGAAGGCGGCUCUCUGGGACGGUACUGACGCUGAGACGCGAAAGCGUGGGGAGCGAACAGG
rnacentral:rRNA from 1 species